rnacentral:rRNA from 1 species
AGUGAACGCUGGCGGUGGGCCUAACACAUGCAAGUCGAACGGCAGCACAGUAAGAGCUUGCUCUUACGGGUGGCGAGAGGCGGACGGGUGAGGAAUGCAUCGUAAUCUACUUUUUCGGGGGGGAUAAGGUAGGGAAACCUACGCUAAUACCGCAUACGACCUACGGGUGAAAGCAGGGGAUCUUCGCACCUUGCGGGAUUGAAUGAGCCGAUGUCGGAUUAGCUAGUUGGCGGGGUAAAGGCCCACCAAGGCGACGAUCCGUAGCUGGUCUGAGAGGAUGGUCAGCCACACUGGAACUUAGACACGGUCCAGGCUCCUACGGGAGGCAGCAGUGGGGAAUAUUGGACAAUGGGCGCAAGCCUGAUCCAGCCAUACCGCGUGGGUGAAGAAGGCCUUCGGGUUGUAAAGCCCUUUUGUUGGGAAAGAACAGCAGCAGGUUAAUACCCCGCUGUUCUGACGGUACCCAAAGAAUAAGCACCGGCUAACUUCGUG